rnacentral:rRNA from 1 species
GACGUAGGAUGCGAGCGUUGUCCGGAUUUAUUGGGCGUAAAGAGUUCGUAGGUGGUUCAUUAAGUUUGGUGUUAAAGACCGGGGCUCAACCUCGGGACCGCACUGGAUACUGGUGGACUAGAGUGCAGUAGAGGCAAGCGGAAUUCCAGGUGUAGCGGUGAAAUGCGUAGAUAUCUGGAAGAACACCAAUGGCGAAGGCAAUGUUCUGGCUCGUUUCUGACGCUCAGGUGCGAAAGCCAGGGGAGCGAACGGG